UGAUGCACUUCAAAUAAUUCUUUUUUUUUAUCUUUGUAGAUGUCUUACCAAUAAACUGAUGUCUAACAUGAACAUGAAAGGGAAAAAGACUUAACAUGCCUUUGGUGACUCAAACCUGUUCAAAAUUAUAAGAGAUGCUGUAGUUUCAUGUAGUAGCCAUGAAGGGGCGACAGGGUCCUCAAUAUGGACAGAGUGUGGGAGAUUUUUAAAAUAUGCUCCUGAAAGAUCAGGGGGGGGGGGGGGGGUGUCUCGUAAAAAAGACUAGAAAUUUAAUAAAAUUUUAGUAUUCA